CCCGCUGAACUUAAGCAUAUCAAUAAGCGGAGGAAAAGAAACUAACAAGGAUUCCCCUAGUAACUGCGAGUGAAGCGGGAAAAGCUCAAAUUUAAAAUCUGGCAGCCAUUUUACGGUUGUCCGAGUUGUAAUCUAGAGAAGUGCUUUCCGUGCUGGACCGUGUACAAGUCUCUUGGAAUAGAGCAUCAUAGAGGGUGAGAAUCCCGUCUUUGACACGGACUACCAGUGCUUUAUGUGAUGCGCUCUCAAAGAGUCGAGUUGUUUGGGAAUGCAGCUCAAAAUGGGUGGUAAAUUCCAUCUAAAGCUAAAUAUUGGCGAGAGACCGAUAGCGAACAAGUACCGUGAGGGAAAGAUGAAAAGAACUUUGGAAAGAGAGUUAAACAGUACGUGAAAUUGUUGAAAGGGAAACGCUUGAAGUCAGUCGCGUCGUCCGGGGAUCAGCCUUGCUCUUUUGCUCGGUGUAUUUCCUGGUCGACGGGUCAGCAUCGGUUUCGACCGUCGGAAAAUGGCUCGAGGAAUGUGGCACUCUUCGGAGUGUGUUAUAGACUCGGGUCGAAUACGACGAUUGGGACCGAGGAACUCAGCACGACCUUAGGGUUCGGGGCUUCGGCCCACGUCAACGUGCUUAGGAUGCUGGCAUAAUGGCCUUAAGCGACCCGUCUUGAAACACGG
rnacentral:rRNA from 1 species